AUUGAACGCUAGCGGCAGGCCUAACACAUGCAAGUCGAGCGAGCGGCGGACGGGUGAGUAAUAUAUGGGGAUGUGCCCGAUAGAGGGGGAUAACUACUGGAAACAGUGGCUAAUACCGCAUACUAUUGGAUCAACCCAUAUGGGAUUAGCUAGUAGGUGGGGUAAAGGCUCACCAAGGCGACGCUCCAUAGCUGGUUUGAGAGGAUGAUCAGCCACACUGGGACUGAGACACGGCCCAGACUCCUACGGGAGGCAGCAGUGGGGAAUAUUGCACAAUGGGCGAAAGCCUGAUGCAGCCAUGCCGCGUGUAUGAAGAAGGCCUUCGGGUUGUAAAGUACUUGCGGCGGGGAGGCGGUAUCUGCAGAAGAAGCACCGGCUAACUCCGUGCCAGCAGCCGCGGUAAUUC
rnacentral:rRNA from 1 species